rnacentral:tRNA from 1 species
GCACUUAUGGUGUAAUGGUAGCACAACCAUGUAAAGCUUGGGAGGUCUGGACGUUCAAAUCCCGGUGAGAGUC